UUCGCCCUACAGCUAGCCCACCCCACUAAAAACAACAACCCAACAUCAAUAACCCCAAAUACACCACUCCAAAUAAACAAAUCAUUUUUCCCCCUAAGUAUGGGAGACAGAAAAGGAACUACGUGAGCGAUAGAAAAAGUACCGCAAGGGAAAGCUGAAAGAGAAGUGAAACAACUCAGCACAAGCCUAAAAAAGCAGAGAUUACUACUCGUACCUUUUGCAUCAUGAUUUAGCCAGUACUACUCUAGCAAAGAGCACUUUAGUUAGAGCCCCCGAAACCAAGUGAGCUACUCCAAGACAGCCUAGUAAUAGGGCCAACCCGUCUCUGUGGCAAAAGAGUGGGAAGAGCUUCGAGUAGAGGUGACAGACCUACCGAACUUGGUUAUAGCUGGUUGCCCGAGAAAUGAAUAGAAGUUCAGCCCCACAAACAACCCCUACUCACCCUAGCCUUGCUAAGAUCGACACAGGGAGAAGCUGUGGGAGUUAAUCAGAGGGGGUACAGCUCCUCUGACAAAAGAUACAACUUUCCCGGCAGGGUAAAGAUCAUA
rnacentral:rRNA from 1 species